GGUUGUUUUCUCAAGCUCAGGUUCUUUUCCUCUGUAGUUUAGUCUCAAAACAACCACAACGUAUUUGGUAUUUAGUACAGUUUUGGAAAAGAAGUUUAUCCCACAAAAUAUCAAAUGAUCUUGAACUAAAAGUCCAGACUAUGUUCUUCCAUGUGACAUCAAGUAAACAGCCUCUAAUGAUUUCUUGCUAAGACACCUCUGCAGUCCUUAACUCUGUACAAAUCACGAUAAUAAUCACUAUGAAGUCUUCAAGAACAGAGACUCUACUGAAUUCAUAUUGAGACUUGCCCUCACUAUCAGAACAAAGCUAUAUAUGACAGAGACCCCUGGCUGUUUUUGAUAAAUGAAAUCAGUGAACAGGAAAAAGAUACAUCUCAUCUAAGGAACUCACAAGAGGCUUAUCCUAUGAAAAAUGGGUUGCAGAUAAACAAUUCCUCAUGCGGGAAACCUUGUCAAUAAUGGUAAGAAGCAGCAUGGCCUAUUGGACAGGAAGAUGAGAAGAAAGAAAGAACUCAUUUUUAAAAGGACAAGCCACCAUUUUCCUUGGACGUUCAAAGAAAUGUGUGGUCCUCAAAAGCUUGGAAAUUACUGCAUUAAUUUCUGUUCAUCAAAAGAUACCUUAAAUAAGCAGAAAAGCUGGAAUACAAACCAGGAGAAGAAAUUAUAAUUGUCAUUAAUAUAUGUAAAUAACAAAAGACUAAAAGAAUAUGCAAACAAAAGAAUAUAUAGAACACAGCUGCCAAUCAAUACUAAAUCAAGAAUCUAAAUCAAAAAAUGGGUAUAGGACAUUAACCUGUAUUUCAAAAAAGAGGAAACAUGGCAAAUACACAUUGGAAGAUCGGUUUCAUCUUCUCAUUAGCAAUCAGAGAAGUGCAGAUCAAGACCACUAUGAGGUGUCAUCUACACAAAUUAGACGAGCGGAAAGGAAAAAAAAAAAAAUACACCAACAAUACCAAGUACUAAAGAGGAUAUAUGGAUUUGCAGUAUUCCGUAGAAAGUUGGGAGUAUAAAGUUGUAUAACUAUGUUUGAAAACACAUUAUCUUAUAAAGUUAAAGAAUCAAACACUCCAUGAUCCAGUAAUCACAUUUCUAGGCAUAGAUCCAAGAGAAAUCUUUAUACGCAUAUAUACGGAAACAUGUAGAAGAUUGUCCAUACCAAUACUGUCAACAACAACAAAACUAAUACAACUCAAAUGCCAUGUGAAAUACCAGAAAAUAUAUGUACUCGUCUCUGCUCCCAGUUCCUGGCACAGAGCUCCUAAAAUUUGCAAUCUCCUAAAUGAUAAGAGCACUAAGAGCGUCUUUUGGUCUUUGACUCUGGUUCUUACCUCAGAGCUCCUAAAUCUCUUGGAAUUUGCUGAGUGACAGGACUACCCCUUAUCCUAAUGAGACAGCUCUUCUUAGGCUUCUGGAGAGCUUCGGAAUGGGGGCUGGCCACCAGAGACACCAAGCCACGUUUAAAGCUUGGGACUUUCAACUCCACCCCUCUCUACACCAAGUGGGAAAAAGCCUGGAGAUUGAGUUAAUUACUGAUCAUGCCCACGUGAUGAGGUCCCCAUCAACAUCCCACAAGUACGGGAUUCUGAGACAGUCUAGGUUGGUGAAGAGAUGGAAGUGUUAGGAGAGUGGCAGACUCAGACAGGAAAUGGAUGCUCUACAUUCCUCCCAACAUGUUCUGACCCAUGCAUCUCUGCCGUCUAGUUGUUCCUGAGUUAUAUCAUUUUAUAAUGAUCUGGCAACCCAGUAAAUUUAUUUUCCUGACUUCUGUGAGCUAUUCUAGCAAAUUAAUCAAACUUGAGGGUGAGGUUGUAGAAUUUUUUAUUUACAGUCAAUUGGUCAGAAGCACAGAUAACCUAGACUUGGAAUCGGCAUCUGAA